CACGUAGGGCGCAAGCGUUGUCCGGAAUUAUUGGGCGUAAAGAGCUCGUAGGUGGUUUGUUACGUCUGCUGUGAAAACCUAGGGCUUAACCCUGGGCUUGCAGUGGAUACGGGCGGACUAGAGGUAGGUAGGGGAGAAUGGAAUUCCUGGUGUAGCGGUGAAAUGCGCAGAUAUCAGGAGGAACACCGGUGGCGAAGGCGGUUCUCUGGGCCUUACCUGACGCUGAGGAGCGAAAGCGUGGGGAGCGAACAGG
rnacentral:rRNA from 1 species